CGAACCGGGGGAACUGAAACAUCUAAGUACCCCGAGGAAAAGAAAUCAACCGAGAUUCCCCCAGUAGCGGCGAGCGAACGGGGAGCAGCCCAGAGCCUGAAUCAGUAUGUGUGUUAGUGGAAGCGUCUGGAAAGGCGCGCGAUACAGGGUGACAGCCCCGUACACAAAAAUGCACAUGCUGUGAGCUCGAUGAGUAGGGCGGGACACGUGGUAUCCUGUCUGAAUAUGGGGGGACCAUCCUCCAAGGCUAAAUACUCCUGACUGACCGAUAGUGAACCAGUACCGUGAGGGAAAGGCGAAAAGAACCCCGGCGAGGGGAGUGAAAAAGAACCUGAAACCGUGUACGUACAAGCAGUGGGAGCACGCUUAGGCGUGUGACUGCGUACCUUUUGUAUAAUGGGUCAGCGACUUAUAUUCUGUAGCAAGGUUAACCGAAUAGGGGAGCCGAAGGGAAACCGAGUCUUAACUGGGCGUUAAGUUGCAGGGUAUAGACCCGAAACCCGGUGAUCUAGCCAUGGGCAGGUUGAAGGUUGGGUAACACUAACUGGAGGACCGAACCGACUAAUGUUGAAAAAUUAGCGGAUGACUUGUGGCUGGGGGUGAAAGGCCAAUCAAACCGGGAGAUAGCUGGUUCUCCCCGAAAGCUAUUUAGGUAGCGCCUCGUGAAUUCAUCUCCGGGGGUAGAGCACUGUUUCGGCAAGGGGGUCAUCCCGACUUACCAACCCGAUGCAAACUGCGAAUACCGGAGAAUGUUAUCACGGGAGACACACGGCGGGUGCUAACGUCCGUCGUGAAGAGGGAAACAACCCAGACCGCCAGCUAAGGUCCCAAAGUCAUGGUUAAGUGGGAAACGAUGUGGGAAGGCCCAGACAGCCAGGAUGUUGGCUUAGAAGCAGCCAUCAUUUAAAGAAAGCGUAAUAGCUCACUGGUCGAGUCGGCCUGCGCGGAAGAUGUAACGGGGCUAAACCAUGCACCGAAGCUGCGGCAGCGACGCUGAUGCGUUGUUGGGUAGGGGAGCGUUCUGUAAGCCUGCGAAGGUGUGCUGUGAGGCAUGCUGGAGGUAUCAGAAGUGCGAAUGCUGACAUAAGUAACGAUAAAGCGGGUGAAAAGCCCGCUCGCCGGAAGACCAAGGGUUCCUGUCCAACGUUAAUCGGGGCAGGGUGAGUCGACCCCUAAGGCGAGGCCGAAAGGCGUAGUCGAUGGGAAACAGGUUAAUAUUCCUGUACUUGGUGUUACUGCGAAGGGGGGACGGAGAAGGCUAUGUUGGCCGGGCGACGGUUGUCCCGGUUUAAGCGUGUAGGCUGGUUUUCCAGGCAAAUCCGGAAAAUCAAGGCUGAGGCGUGAUGACGAGGCACUACGGUGCUGAAGCAACAAAUGCCCUGCUUCCAGGAAAAGCCUCUAAGCAUCAGGUAACAUCAAAUCGUACCCCAAACCGACACAGGUGGUCAGGUAGAGAAUACCAAGGCGCUUGAGAGAACUCGGGUGAAGGAACUAGGCAAAAUGGUGCCGUAACUUCGGGAGAAGGCACGCUGAUAUGUAGGUGAAGUCCCUCGCGGAUGGAGCUGAAAUCAGUCGAAGAUACCAGCUGGCUGCAACUGUUUAUUAAAAACACAGCACUGUGCAAACACGAAAGUGGACGUAUACGGUGUGACGCCUGCCCGGUGC
rnacentral:rRNA from 1 species